CGCGGGGUGGAGCAGCCUGGUCGCUCGUCGGGCUCAUAACCCGAAGGUCGUCGGUUCAAAUCCGGCCCCCGCAACCA
rnacentral:tRNA from 4 species